ensembl:misc_RNA Metazoa_SRP Metazoan signal recognition particle RNA
GUGAGGCCGAGGUGUGAGGAUCACUUGAGCCCAGGGGUUCUGGGAUGUAGUGCGCUAUGCUGAUCGGGUAUCUGCAUGAAGUUCGGCAUCAAUAUGGUAACCUCCCCGGAAUGGGAGACCACCAGGUUGCCCAAGGAGGGGUAAACCGGCCCAGAUUGGAAACUGAGCAGGUCAAAAUUCCCAUGCUGAUCAGUAGUGGUACUGCACCUGUGAAUAGCCACUGCAUUCCAGCCUGGGCAACACAGCAAGACCCUGUCUCAA